rnacentral:lncRNA from 1 species
UAUAUAUAACGAAGAACACGCACUCACAAUUCACACAAACUCAAGCAAAUUAAGAACAAGACAAUGAAAAGCUCUUCACCAAAAUUUGCUCUCCUUUUCCUUCUCUUGAUCCUCAUUGCAGGUAAGAGUGAAAACUAUAAAUCAUAUUCGUAACCAUUUAGAAUUUAAUUAGUUGCAUCUCCUAACAACUCGAGUUAGCAAUCAACUCAUAUAGCAAUUUCUAAUCACCUCCAUCCCUAAAAUACUUUAACAAUAUUUCAAAAAGUAAUUUUUUAAGGAAAAUGUUAAUUAAUAAGUACUCUUACGUCCUUAAUAAUUUUCUAAAUGAAAUGACACAUCACCCUCCAUUUUAUUUAGCGAUUGCUAAAAAUAUAUCGAUGGAGAUAUUCCAAGUAUUAUAACUAAUUUAUUAAGAUCAGGAUUAUUUUAACUAUAUGUUAUUUCAAUUUUUUUUAAUAUAUACAGUGUAAUUAUACCUGAGAUAGACAGUAACGUAAAUGGAAAUGGUUGCAUGCAUGCAGGAGAUGAGAUAAUUAGCGCACGGAAAUACACGGUGACGAAAGUGGGGGAGUGCGAGUGCGAGAUAUGCACAUGUAAUAAUGAUGGGGUAUGUACGUGUGCUGGACAAGUAGCAGUGAUGGGCAAUGAUGACGACCAGCACCUUUUAUCAAAGGAUAAGGAUGAAGUUAAAAUUAGUAAUUGAUCAAACUUUGUAAAUUAUGAAGUUAAUAAAAAUUGGUUAUUGGGUGAUAUUGAAUAAAUGAAUUAUAGUUUGUAAUUUUAUUUCCGGUGGGAAGAUUUUGUAGUAAAAUAAAUUGGAUAUUUGGUGUUUUUAACUUUUUUAAUUGGCGAAUUCAAGCUAUGAUAUAUUUAAUUUGUCCGCAAUUAUAUGCAAUGAUAAGAAGAUGAUCAUAUUCGAUAUUUGAUACACCUCCUCCUCCUCUUGGGUGAACUGAAGGUACUUGUAGAGUCUAAUGUUACAAUUCCGACCGGUUUGAUCACCGUCGUUAAUUAUAUAUAUACCGUCAUUUCAGGUUUAACGGUGGCGAACGUGUCGGAGAGCCGAGGACGACAACAAUGCUAUAGGGACAUCGAUUGCGCAUUCUAUUGUGCGAAACUCCAUCAAGGGAUUGCUCUCUGCAACUACAAAACUGGCUACUGCAUUUGUCUGCCUCCUCUUGCCCCCCUAUUCCGGAUAUCGUUAGGGACUCGUGUUUGUGUGAGUAUUUUGGGAGAACGGAAAUUUGAAAUAGUAAGAGAUUCGAAAUGGUUAUUGUUUUUUCAGAAGAUUUGUAAUAAUAAAUGCAAACUGGAUUUAUGUACAGAAAAUAAUUGAAAGAAAAAUUAAGACUUUUGAGUUUUUGACAG